UACGUAGGUGACAAGCGUUGUCCGGAUUUACUGGGCGUAAGAGCGCGCAGGCGGUCGUGCAAGUCGCGUGUGAAAGCCCCCGGCUCAACUGGGGAGGGUCACGCGAUACUGCUCGACUCGAAGACAGGAGAGGGAAGUGGAAUUCCCGGUGUAGUGGUGAAAUGCGUAGAUAUCGGGAGGAACGCCAGUGGCGAAGGCGACUUCCUGGCCUGUUCUUGACGCUGAGGCGCGAAAGCUAGGGGAGCAAACGGG
rnacentral:rRNA from 1 species